UGGCGAUGAUUGGAGGUGGUGGUGGUAGAAGAUGAAGUGACAGAGAAUUACAAGGUGGGUGGUCCAAGUCAAAGAUGAGAGAUUUGAGCAAGAUCAAGUGCUACCAGUAUGAUGAGUUGUGGUAUCGAGUCAGAGAUUGCCCAUAGCUCAGAGAUCUGUGGAGAUGGUGGUCUAAGGUAGCAAUACAGAAGAAAAUGAUUAUGUUCUUCUG
rnacentral:lncRNA from 1 species